rnacentral:lncRNA from 1 species
UCCCGAAUUUUUUUUAUUUUUAUUCUAAAUUUAAAACAUAUUUCGAAUUUGACCCGCUUAUGAAAAUAUUUUUAAAACUAGGCCGUUUGGACCCGCCACCAUGCAUGGCAGGGCAAAUGCAUAGAACCCCGCCAUGCAUGGCGGCGGGAUACUACCGCUGACGUGGCAUGGUUCUGGGGACACCUGCUUACGUGGCGGGGUACAUGGCAAACAGUAC